rnacentral:rRNA from 1 species
UACGUAGGGGGCUAGCGUUGUCCGGAAUCAUUGGGCGUAAAGAGCGCGUAGGCGGCCAGAUAAGUCCGGUGUGAAAGCCCCCGGCUCAACUGGGGAGGGUCACGCGAUACUGAUCGACUCGAAGGCAGGAGAGGGUAGUGGAAUUCCCGGUGUAGUGGUGAAAUGCGUAGAUAUCGGGAGGAACACCAGUGGCGAAGGCGACUACCUGGCCUGUUACUGACGCUGAGGCGCGAAAGCUAGGGGAGCAAACGGG